AACGAACGCUGGCGGCGUGCUUAACACAUGCAAGUCGAACGAUGAACUUGGAGCUUGCUCUGGGGGAUUAGUGGCGAACGGGUGAGUAACACGUGAGUAACCUGCACUGGACUCUGGGAUAACUUCGAGAAAUCGGAGCUAAUACCGGAUAGGACCUUGCACCGCAUGGUGUGGGGUGGAAAGUUUUUCGGUUUGGGAUGGACUCGCGGCCUAUCAGCUUGUUGGUGAGGUAAUGGCUCACCAAGGCGUCGACGGGUAGCCGGCCUGAGAGGGUGACCGGCCACACUGGGACUGAGACACGGUCCAGACUCCUACGGGAGGCAGCAGUGGGGAAUAUUGCACAAUGGGCGCAAGCCUGAUGCAGCAACGCCGCGUGCGGGAUGACGGCCUUCGGGUUGUAAACCGCUUUUAGUAGGGAAGAAGCCUUCGGGUGACGGUACCUGCAGAAAAAGGACCGGCUAACUACGUGCCAGCCGCCGCAGUAACAC
rnacentral:rRNA from 1 species